rnacentral:tRNA from 1 species
UAGCGCAGUUGGUAGCGCGCAUGGUUCGGGACCAUGAGGCCAGGAGUUCAAGUCUCCUUACUCCGACCA